rnacentral:rRNA from 1 species
GAUGAACGCUGGCGGCGUGCCUAAUACAUGCAAGUCGAGCGAACGGACGAGAAGCUUGCUUCUCUGAUGUUAGCGGCGGACGGGUGAGUAACACGUGGAUAACCUACCUAUAAGACUGGGAUAACUUCGGGAAACCGGAGCUAAUACCGGAUGAUAUUUUGCACCGCAUGGUUCAAAGGUGAAAGACGGUCUUGCUGUCACUUAUAGAUGGAUCCGCGCUGCAUUAGCUAGUUGGUAAGGUAACGGCUUACCAAGGCUACGAUGCAUAGCCGACCUGAGAGGGUGAUCGGCGACACUGGAACUGAGACACGGUCCAGACGCCUACGGGAGGCAGCAGUAGGGAAUCUUCCGCAAUGGGCGAAAGCCUGACGGAGCAACGCCGCGUGAGUGAUGAAGGUCUUCGGAUCGUAAAACUCUGUUAUUAGGGAAGAACAUAUGUGUAAGUAACUGUGCACAUCUUGACGGUACCGAAUCAGAAAGCCACGGCUAACUACGUG